GAGAGAGAAUAUGAAUCUCCAAAGGGGAGAGUGGGGAAGGACCCGUCACCGAGGUGGGAGGUGGGAGGUGGGCUAGAGCGGCCGCCGCUGCGCCCCAGCCAUAUCAAUGUCAGUUACCAGUGACCCAGACACAACACGUGCAGCUUGCAUUGACUUUUACUAGACUGUUUACUUUUAUUCGUCCCAUUUCAUAACCUGCAGCGACUGGAAGACCAGAUUAAAGAACCUGACAAAAACAGGAUGCGACGGAUGUUUUUACAUGUCGGUUUCAUGUAGGCGAUUCCUAUUCGGAACAAUCCAUCGUUACAUUCCGGAGAGGUGGAAACAUGCAGUCUCCAUUCUGCCAACAUCCGGGUGGCAGUUCACUCUCCCUUGGGUAGUGAGGAGAUGGAAGAAGCUUGCCACAGGAAAACAGUCUAAUCUAAGCCGAAGGGUCGUUCCACAGAAGGCUCACCUGACAUAGUCAAUAUAAGCCUAGGCUUAUACUUUUCAAAAUGUACUUUAAUAAGUGUACUUAAGUGCUUUAACCUUCCUUCUAGCCCACUCCCCACCAGGAGUAGUAGAAAGGAAAGGUUAAUAGAGCAAAGGAGGGUGUGGGCCUGGUUAUAUGUAGUUUGUUGGGGCAAAUCCAGUCUGUGUUGUCAGGAUAGCAGCAGCUCAGUUCACACAAAUGAGCAGAAUGAGCUCAACCCACUCACAAACGCUAUUCGUGAACUAGCAACGGCCGUGUGAUCCAGAAGAAACCACAAGGCUCUGCUAAGCUGCCUGAGUCUGCAGAAGUGGUAAGAAGCUACUGGAAUAUCAUGGACGUUCUUCGGUGCAUUUCUCUCUAUGAAGUCAAUGAAGAAGGCAAGGUGAACCAAGGCCAGUGUUGUCAGUGAAGACCAGUGUCAGCAAAGUACGAGGGGCAAGGCGAACCAAUGCUACAGUUCUGUCCACCGUCUGUUGAGUUAGACUUAUAUCCUUACCAAACGUCCCUUGUUCUCUCAACAGUCUACUCCAGCAAACCAUCACAUGCCCUUAUCCCAGACAGCUUCUAGAAAUACAUGUGUCUGUUCUCAGCAAAACAUCCUCCCACAUGUCUGCUUCAGCAAAAGCAGCUUCUCAUAAGA